GCCUACAAACAAAGCCGCCACUGAGCCCACAGUUGAGGAUGCCCCCUGAUUUUGCCCUUUUUGUAUUUUGCUUUCUUCGCUCGUAUAAUGAACUUUUCACCAAUGAGAUGAAUCUUUUUUCACUAUUGAUGUGUUUGUCAUAAUAAUUUAACUGUUGAGUUUGAAGUCAUCGAUGUUGUAACCAAUGCUGACCCAAAAUUGUCAAUGUGGGAAGUUGUCCGAGCUGGGCUUGGUCUGCUUGGAUAAUUUUUUUGAAGUCAAUCAUUUUGGUUAUGUAUCUGAAGUG
rnacentral:lncRNA from 1 species